CNGGGUAGGAGUGAAAUCCCGUAAUCUCGGACGGACCACCUGUGGCGAAAGCGCCUCGGGAAGACGGAUCCGACAGUGAGGGACGAAAGCCAGGGUCUCGAACCGGAUUAGAUACCCGGGUAGUCCUGGCCGUAAACGAUGUCCGCUAGGUGUGACGCAGGCUACGAGCCUGCGUUGUGCCGUAGGGAAGCCGUGAAGCGGACCGCCUGGGAAGUACGUCUGCAAGGAUGAAACUUAAAGGAAUUGGCGGGGGAGCACUACAACCGGAGGAGCCUGCGGUUUAAUUGGACUCAACGCCGGACAUCUCACCAGCACCGACAGCAGUAAUGACGGUCAGGUUGAUGACCUUACCCGAGCUGCUGAGAGGAGGUGCAUGGCCGCCGUCAGCUCGUACCGUGAGGCGUCCUGUUAAGUCAGGCAACGAGCGAGACCCGCACCCUUAGUCGCCAGCAGCAUCCACGUGAUGGCUGGGUACACUAGGGGGACUGCCGCUGCCAAAGCGGAGGAAGGAACGGGCAACGGUAGGUCAGUAUGCCCCGAAUGUGCUGGGCAACACGCGGGCUACAAUGGCCGAGACAGUGGGAUGCGACCCCGAGAGGGGAAGCUAAUCUCCGAAACUCGGUCGUAGUUCGGAUUGAGGGCUGAAACUCGCCCUCAUGAAGCUGGAUUCGGUAGUAGUCGCGUGUCAGAAGCGCGCGGCG
rnacentral:rRNA from 1 species